GAUGAACGCUGGCGGCGUGCCUAAUACAUGCAAGUCGAGCGAACAGACGAGGAGCUUGCUCCUCUGACGUUAGCGGCGGACGGGUGAGUAACACGUGGAUAACCUACCUAUAAGACUGGGAUAACUUCGGGAAACCGGAGCUAAUACCGGAUAAUAUAUUGAACCGCAUGGUUCAAUAGUGAAAGACGGUUUUGCUGUCACUUAUAGAUGGAUCCGCGCCGCAUUAGCUAGUUGGUAAGGUAACGGCUUACCAAGGCAACGAUGCGUAGCCGACCUGAGAGGGUGAUCGGCCACACGGGAACUGAGACACGGUCCAGACGCCUACGGGAGGCAGCAGUAGGGAAUCUUCCGCAGUGGGCGAAAGCCUGACGGAGCAACGCCGCGUGAGAGAUGAAGGUCUUCGGAUCGUAAAAAUCGGUUAUUAGGGAAGAACAAAUGUGUAAGUAACUAUGCACGUCUUGACGGUAACUAAUAAGAAAGCCACGGCUAACUACGUG
rnacentral:rRNA from 1 species